GUGUGUGCUUGUUGCUUACCAGGGCGCAUGUUGUACCUAUCCAGGCUCUUCCUACGGUUCAUGCGGUGUUGUUGUUGCUGCAUGGAAUCCAUGAACUCCAUGUCACCCCGGUGACCACCACCUCGCUCCUCCUGGAUCUGCUGAUUGUCGACGAGAGUGAGUGCGAGAGUGGGGUGGAAAAUACUCUUCUAUAUCCACAUCCAAGUCCAUGGGAUGAACAGAGAGCAGGCGCUUGUUCUUUCGCAUCUGACAGAACAACAGGAUGGAGACAUAAAGAGAAGUGGGGAGAGAGGGAGAAGAAGGGGUGACUUCUUUUCUUCUCAAAUUGUGUAACCCCUUGUUACGUUUGCAUAUCAUAGUGCUUAUGCUGGUGUUGUCAACUCCACUAUGAUAUGCAAAAGUACCACAGGGUUAAGCAGUUUUCAGAUACAUAUCAGCUGUCCCAUCGCCGUGUCAGAGCCCUGACAAAAUGAAUGAUCCAUUGUGCUGUUGUGUGUGGAAACACAAUGAUGGGGACUGACGUGGGGAGGAUAAGUGGCUGAAGGAGGCCCAGGACCUACUGGCAGAGGAUCUUCAUUUGAUCACACUUUUGUUUUGAGAAUGUUCCUGUACAGAAGGAAAUGCAAACCUAUAGUGUAUUUUGAGGUUUGAAAAAGAUUGUAAAGUUUGUGAUUUCCACUUUAAUAUGUCAGACUUGAUUCGCCCCAAUGAAAAAUGUAUCAGCCCCUACAAAGAAUGUCCAUUAAUUGUCAUUCACAUAAUAAUUCACAUUUCCUGUUGAGGCAAGAUUAUUUUCCUGCUGUAGCAAACUGGAUCAAAUUAAGAUCCUAGGCCUCAGCCCAGGCACAGGACUACCAAUAUGGGCAGCAACAGGAUCCUAGGCCUCAGCCCAGGCACAGGACUACCAAUAUGGGCAGCAACAGGAUCCUAGGCCUCAGCCCAGGCACAGGACUACCAAUAUGGGCAGCAACAGGAUCCUAGGCCCCAGCCCAGGCACAGGACUACCAAUAUGGG